UUCAUUAGGAUUAUUAUUAUUAUUAUUUUAAAUAAAUAUAAAUAAUUUAACUCGAAGCUGCAUGAAGGAAACCCGAGUGAUGGCAAUGUUUCUGACCAAGCAGACAGUCCUGAUGUUUCUUUUCCUUGGCAGUGCAGCCUCUCUGCAAGUGAGCAUCACGCCUGCACAAGGAGAAGUCAGCGUUGGAGAGUCCAAGUUCUUUUUGUGUGAAGUUGUUGGUGCAGUGAAGGAAAUCGACUGGUUCUCACCAAAUGGCGAGAAGAUUGAAUCCAACAGGCAGGACAUCACAGUGAUCCGCAACGACGAGACAUCCUCUACGCUCACUAUCUACAAUGCUAACAUUGCCACUGCCGGCACGUACAAGUGUGUAGCCACUGACGGAGACCAGCAGGCUGAAGCUACAGUGAACGUGAAGAUAUACCAAAAGAUUACCUUCAAGAACGCCACAUCACCACAAGAGUUUACUGAGGGGGACGACGCUGUCAUCAUAUGUGAUGUGAUUAGCUCCCCACCACCCACUGUCAUGUGGAAACACAAAAGGGCAAAAAUCGAGUUUGACAAAGAUGUUCGGUUCAAGAUUUUGGACAACAACCACCUGCAGAUCAGAGGGAUCAGAAAGGUGGAUGAAGGAGUGUACACCUGCGAGGGUCGCAUUAUGGCUCGAGGCGAGAUCGGCUUCCGUGAUAUCAGAGUCAUAGUGAACGUCGUCCCCACUAUCAGAGUGCGACAAGCCGAGGUGAACGCCACGGUCGACAUAAGCCACUCUGCCAUGCUGGCCUGCGAUGCAGACGGCUUCCCCGACCCCACAGUCACAUGGACGCGUUCUCUCAGGAGCGAGGUGGUUCUGGAGAGUGGGGAUAAGUACAGCUUCAAUGAAGAUGGCUCAGAGAUCACAAUAAUGGAUGUGAAGAAGCUGGAUGAAGGAGAUUACACCUGCAUUGCCAGGAACAAAGCUGGGAUGAGUGAAGAAGAAGCCAGCCUCAGAGUUUUUGUGAAACCCAAAAUCACGUACUUGGAAAACCAGACCGCUACGGAGAUGGAGGAGCAGAUCAGGUUGACGUGCGAAGCCACAGGCGACCCAACACCCAGCAUCACAUGGGCCACCGGUACGCACGUCUUUCUCGAGGGAGAACAGGAGCAUCUAAAGAGGAUUUAUCAGGCAUCGUGGACUCGACCCGAACAACACAAGAGUGAAGACGGGAGUGUGGUGGCACGCAGUGACGCUCGUGUUUCCUCUCUGACGCUAAAGUACGUCCAGUACACCGACGCUGGACAGUAUCUCUGCACAGCCAGCAAUGCUGUAGGCCAGAGCUCCCAGUUCACCUUCCUAGAAGUGCACUAUGCGCCAAAAAUCCUGGGCUCAGUGGCAGUCUACACGUGGGAGGGGAAUCCUGCCAACAUCAGCUGCGAGAUUCUGGCUCACCCCAGUGAUGUGUCUAUCAUGUGGCUGCGAGAUGGACUCCAGCUGCCCAAUGCCAACUCCACCAACGUCAAAAUCUAUACCACCCCCACUGCCAGCUACCUGCAGGUUAACCCGGACUCCCAGAACGACUUUGGCAGCUACAACUGCACAGCUUCUAAUGAGAUCGGGACCGAGUCCAAAGAGUUCAUCCUGAUUCAGGCUGAUGUUCCCUCGGCUCCAAACAUCACUCAGGUGAAACCCUACUCAAGCACGGCUGAGGUACUGUUUGAUGAACCUGAAGCUUCUGGAGGAGUUCCCGUGCUCAAGUACCGUGCUGAGUGGAGAGCUGUGGGCAAAAACAACUGGGUCCAGCGCAUCUAUGAAGCCCGAGAGGGGCUGAGUGCAGUCACAAUCACGGGCUUAAAACCAAACACGAAGUAUGAAGUCAAGAUGUCUGCUAUCAACGGCAAGGGAGAAGGCGAGAGCAGCUCUGUCGCUGGCUUCAAGACAGAACCUGUUCGGGAGCCCAAUCCUCCUAAAUUGGAGGGGUCCCUACAGUCCAAAGGCAACGCACUAAAAGUCAAGUGGAUCAAGCAGGAUGAUGGAGGCUCGCCUAUCACACAAUAUGUCAUCCGGUAUAAAGCUAGAGAGGAUUUGACCUGGAAAGAUGAGCUCCGUGUCUCAAGCACAACUCCUCACGUCGUCCUCAGUGGCCUGGACUGGAACACCGAGUAUGACGUGACGGUGGUGGCCGAAAACCAGCAGGGCAAGUCGCAGCCUGGCUCACUGAACUUCCGCACAUCCUCAGAACCCUCCGCCACGCCAGACUUUAUUGAGGAUGGCCCAAGCCUGAGUACAGGGCUGAUUGUCGGGAUCCUCAUCCUGGCGUGUGUGGUCCUGUUGUUGGCCGUGGACGCCACCUGCUGCUUCGUCAACAAGUGCGGCUUGCUAAUGUGUCUCUGUGGCAAACCCGGGACCAGUCCAAAGGGCAAGGAUGUCGAGGCAGGAAAGGCUGCAUUUGUGAAGGACGACUCCAAAGAGCCCAUUGUAGAAAUGAGGACUGAAGACGGGCUCACAGCCAAUCACGACGUAGGGGGACAUACCGAGCCAAAUGAGACCACGCCCCUAACUAAGCCAGAGCGUCAAACAGAAGUCGCGUCUACCGUGGUGGACUUGCCCCUGUCUUUGGCCACCAACUCAGACACAGUCACUGACACAUUUGACCUGAGUCAGAGCAGCCCUGUUAGUGAGAGCACCACUCUUACCUCCAGCCUCACGGCUCCUCCCUCUGAGGCCAAAUCCACCCCUAAAACCUCCUCACAACCCUUAGACACUUCACUCCUCUUAUCUGAUCCUCCCUUAGUCGAUCUGGCCGAUUCCCAGACCAGUAUCCAAUCAGCUGGUCAGAUUAAAUCUGCAGAACUCGACACUGAGAAGGAAACUGGAGGUCUGGAGGCAGAGCCAGUGCAUUUAGGAAGUUCAUGCGAGCCCAGAACGCUCAUUAAUAAUCCACAGACCAAUGGCGCUCCUCCCUCCUCAGAGGAUCUGGAGCUCCAAAUAGAUGGAGGUGCCUCGCUAACACAUUUCCCACAGGAUGGCUUGCACUCUUUGGAUACAACUGCCUCUACUGACCCAUCACAGAAUGAAAAAACCUUCGAGGAGGAAGAGGAGAUUAGAGCUGAGGAAGACGAGCUGAAGAAGGUCCAGCCAGAAGUACCGGCAGAACCAAAUGCAAUAUUGCAAACAAACGCCUCGGAGAGUAAGGCAUGAUCCGGCAAGCCCAAAGACGAAAGCGGCAACGUCAUGACGAACAUGCAAAUGUUCUUUCUACAGUGUCCUUAAUGAUCUUUUGUUUCUGAAACAACAAAGUGUAUCAGAAGCUUGUACAUUUUGAAGACUGAAAUCUGGUGUACAUUAUUUAUGUAUGCCUUUUUCCAUUUCGCGUUCAUUUCUGUUAAAUGAAGUGAAACCUCAAGGCGUUUCUGUUGCUCUUUUUCGUGAGUUAGCUGCAUAGUUCAAGUCGGAUAUUUUGCAAGAGGGUGUUUGUGAAAACCAGGCAUCUUGCAUUCAGCAGAUCUUCAGCCUCUGGGAUACAAAUAAGAAAAGUGUAACCAUCUGUGCUCAAGGUAUAUAUAUAUUUUUUUCUAUUAUUUUCCCUACUUUCAAUAUACUCAGUCAGUCUAACCAAACAGUGUAUUUGAGAUGGAUUCAUAUGAAGAAGUAAUGUAGGACCAGUAAAUAAAACUGUGCUUAAUCUGUUAAGAAUCAAAGAACAUGUCAUAAGUUGUGUUGUUCUAACACAUUUUGAUUAAACGAAUCAAAACACAA